GACGAACGCUGGCGGCGUGCUUAACACAUGCAGGUCGAACGGAAAGGCCCUUCGGGGUACUCGAGUGGCGAACGGGUGAGUAACACGUGGGUGAUCUGCCCUGCACUUUGGGAUAAGCCUGGGAAACUGGGUCUAAUACCGAAUAUGAUCAUCGGCUUCAUGGUCGGUGGUGGAAAGCUUUUGCGGUGUGGGAUGGGCCCGCGGCCUAUCAGCUUGUUGGUGGGGUAAUGGCCUACCAAGGCGACGACGGGUAGCCGGCCUGAGAGGGUGACCGGCCACACUGGGACUGAGAUACGGCCCAGACUCCUACGGGAGGCAGCAGUGGGGAAUAUUGCACAAUGGGCGCAAGCCUGAUGCAGCGACGCCGCGUGAGGGAUGACGGCCUUCGGGUUGUAAACCUCUUUCAGCACAGACGAAGCGCAAGUGACGGUAUGUGCAGAAGAAGGACCGGCCAACUACGUG
rnacentral:rRNA from 1 species